rnacentral:lncRNA from 1 species
UAGUAAGGCCACUUUUUGGGUUGCUUCUUCCAAUACUUUUUCAUCUUGUAACCAUCCCUGAAGAAAACACACAGUGUUUUAGUCUGGAUGCCCAAUUUCUGGUGACUUUGCAGAAUGUGUUGGCGCUGAUUGCUCUGGACUGACCAUACCAGGAAACCACUCAUCUGCUUUCUGACUAUGGAUGUAAUAGACAGAACUCUGGAUAUCUUGGACCAAGAGGUAACCUAGUGCAUGGGAAGGAUGCGCUGAGGAUGCUGGAGCACUAAGAGAAAGUGCGAGCAUCCUUGAAGACUCUGUGGAGCUGUCAGACAAGCUCUGCAAGGCUGACUUCUGAACUCUCACAGAAGUCAAUGAUAUUUAGGGUUUUUGUUAUAUAUAGCUAUACUUAAUCCUUACCGAUACAACUUCUCUAUCAGGUGCUCCUAUACCUAAUCGAUGAGCAAUCCUAUUGAUUGACUCUAAUAGGCCCAUUCUCUCUCAAUCCAGCUAAUGCCUUUCUGUUCAGUUCUAUAUUGUAAACCUAUGCCUAGAUUAUGGCACAGGUAUUCCUAAACUGGUGUCCUGCCUAUAGUCUUGCCAUCUCUGAUCUACCUUCUAUGAUGGGUGAUCUUUGUGAAAUGUAAAUUUAAUGAUUCCAUUAAAUUUGAAAAUCUCUUCCUCAUUGUA